AUUGAACGCUGGCGGCGUGCCUAACACAUGCAAGUCGAGCGGUAACAGGCGUAGCAAUACGUGCUGACGAGCGGCGAACGGGUGAGCAAUGCUUCGGAAUCUGCCCAAUGAUGGGGAAUAACCAGUCGAAAGAUUGGCUAAUACCGCAUAAGCCCUUCGGGGGAAAGCGGGGGUCGCAAGACCUCGCGUCGAUGGAUGAGCCGAAGUCGGAUUAGCUAGUUGGUAGGGUAACGGCCUACCAAGGCGACGAUCCGUAGCUGGUCUGAGAGGACGACCAGCCACACGGGGACGGAGACACGGCCCAGACUCCUACGGGAGGCAGCGGUGGGGAAUAUUGGACAAUGGGGGCAACCCUGAUCCAGCGACGCCGCGUGUGUGAAGAAGGCCUGCGGGUUGUAAAGCACUUUUAGUGGGGAUGAAAGGCACAUUGCUAAUACCCGGUCCGGAUGACGGUACCGAAAGAAUAAGCACCGGCUAACUUCGUGCCAGCAGCCGCCGAAA
rnacentral:rRNA from 1 species